rnacentral:rRNA from 1 species
UACGGAGGGGGCUAGCGUUGUUCGGAAUUACUGGGCGUAAAGCGCACGUAGGCGGCUUUUUAAGUCAGAGGUGAAAGCCCCGGGCUCAACCCGGGAAGUGCAUCUGAUACUGCGUAGCUUGAGUACCGAAGAGGAUAGUGGAAUUCCAGGUGUAGUGGUGAAAUACGUAGAUAUCUGGAGGAACACCGGUGGCGAAAAGCGGCCUCACGCGGACCACA